GAUGAACGCUGGCGGCGUGCCUAAUACAUGCAAGUCGAGCGAAUGGAUUAAGAGCUUGCUCUUAUGAAGUUAGCGGCGGACGGGUGAGUAACACGUGGGUAACCUGCCCAUAAGACUGGGAUAACUCCGGGAAACCGGGGCUAAUACCGGAUAACAUUUUGAACCGCAUGGUUCGAAACUGAAAGGCGGCUUCGGCUGUCACUUAUGGAUGGACCCGCGUCGCAGUAGCUAGUUGGUGAGGUAACGGCUCACCAAGGCAACGAUGCUUAGCCGACCUGAGAGGGUGGUCGGCCACACUGGGACUGAGACACGGCCCAGACUCCUACGGGAGGCAGCAGUAGGGAAUCGUCCGCAAUGGACGAAAGUCUGACGGAGCAACGCCGCGUGAGUGAUGAAGGCUUUCGGGUCGUAAAACUCUGUUGUUAGGGAAGAACGAGUGCUAGGUGAAUAAGCUGGCACCUUGACGGUACCUAACCAGAAAGCCACGGCUAACUACGUGCCAGCCGCCGCGGUAA
rnacentral:rRNA from 1 species